GUCUUUUAGAAAUUAAUUUAAAGUCUAACCUGCCCACUGAAUUUUUUUAAAUGGCCGCAGUAUCCUAACUGUGCAAAGGUAGCAUAAUCAUUAGUCUUUUAAUUGAAGGCUGGAAUGAAUGGUUGGAUGAAAUAUUAACUGUUUCAUAAAAAUUUAUAAUAGAAUUUUAUUUUUUAGUCAAAAAGCUAAAAUUUAAUUAAAAGACGAGAAGACCCUAUAAAUCUUUAUAUUUAUAAAAUUACAAUUAUAUAGAUAAUUUAAAUUUUAAUUUUUUAUAAUAUUUUAUUGGGGUGAUAUUAAAAUUUAAUAAACUUUUAAUUUAUAAUUUACAUAAAUUAAUGAAUUUUUGAUCCAUUUAUUAUGAUUAAAAAAUUAAGUUACUUUAGGGAUAACAGCGUAAUUUUUUUAGAGAGUUCAUAUUGAUAAAAAAGAUUGCGACCUCGAUGUUGGAUUAAGAUACAGUUUUAGGUGCAGCAGCUUAAACUUAAAGUCUGUUCGACUUUUAAAUUCUUACAUGAUC
rnacentral:rRNA from 1 species